AUAUUUCCCUGGCAGGGGAGAUACCAUGAACACUAAGGUGGUUUUCUCAGGGGAAGGGUUAUCUAUUGCUCUCCAGAUAUGCUGACUCCUGCAAUUUUCCCAAAUAUAGGCAAUUCAACUACAUCAUUGGUGGUAGUGGGGACUGCAUUCACUCACUCCCCU
ensembl:snRNA U1 U1 spliceosomal RNA